UGAGGAAUAUUGGUCAAUGGACGCAAGUCUGAACCAGCCAUGCCGCGUGAAGGAUGAAGGCGUUCUGCGUUGUAAACUUCUUUUACCAGGGAAGAAACCUUCUUUUUCUAAGGAAGCCGACGGUACCUGAGGAAUAAGCACCGGCUAACUCCGUGCCAGCAGCCGCGGUAAUACGGAGGGUGCAAGCGUUAUCCGGAUUUACUGGGUUUAAAGGGUGUGUAGGCGGAUUAUUAAGUCAGCGGUGAAAUCUCCGGGCUCAACCCGGAAACUGCCAUUGAUACUAUUAGUCUUGAAUAUUGUUGAGGUGGGCGGAACGGGUCAUGUAGCGGUGAAAUGCAUAGAUAUGACCCGGAACACCGAUUGCGAAGGCAGCCCACUAAGCAAUGAUUGACGCUGAGGCACGAAAGCGUGGGGAUCAAACAG
rnacentral:rRNA from 1 species